AUGUGCAAUAAUUGCCGUGUGCUCAAACACCGAGACGGCGCGGAAAUAAAAGGGACAAAGGGAGUUGAGCUGCAGCACAGUGAGCAGAACCCCACAGCCCGGCAACGGGAGUUCUCUGGGCACCCGGCUGCAAGCAGGGAGGCCAGAGCCGAGCCUGGCGAACAGCACAACGAAACAAACCACAGCGAGCCAACUAACUCUUCUUUUGUGAUUUUUGCCCGCUUGUUGUUGUUGUUUUUGUUGUUGCUGUUUCUCCCUGAGCUAAAUCGCAAUCCGGCAACCGACCAGAAACACGAGAAAGAAAAGCUGAGCCGCGCUCGUACCCGGCCUGUUCCUAAGCAAACCGCCACGUCCGUGCCUCCAAGCACAACAGCCACGAGCAGGACACGCGACCGCUUUGCAAUCACAGCCCCCCACUUCCUCAGGCGCCGUGUUCCUCCCGUGCACACCCGCACCUCCCCACUCGCAGUUCCGAGGCGGCCACAGGCGCGUUGGCAGCUCCGGACCCACGCGGGGCCGCCGGGGAGCAGAGGGGCUGCGCCGCCGUUCCCCUCCUGCCGCCCCCGCCGGGCCGGGCCCAGCGGCAACGAGCGGCCCACGGCGGCGGCGGUUCCGAGCGCACAAAGUAGAGAACUCUACCUGGCACCGACGGCGGAGCUCUCCUCCUUAUCUGGCGGGCGCCAGCGCUUCUCUUUGGGGCUUGCGACCGGCUGCAGAGAUUGUCCGAAUUGGGGGCUACACCGCGCUGGCAAUUCAAGAAAUAGGAUUCAAGAAAGAGCUGUGAUUUCGCGAGCGAGUCUCCGCCGUUCACCCGUUUCGUUUUGUUCUGCUCGUUUGUGCCGCUUUUCUCGUUCCUUACCUUGGCCCGGCCGAGUUCCCCCCCCACCCCCCCGCCCCCACCUCUCACCUCCUCCUGCGCUGCCCCGGAGCGAGGAGCGGAAACUUUGGGAAGUGCGGAACAAAGGCAGCGCUCGGGCCCAGCAGCAGCAGCGCUGCAGCCCCGCGCCGCGCCCCGAAGGCCCGCACGGCUCAGAGGGGAACCGCAGGGCGCGGAGGGAGCGCGGAUCCCUCGGCAACAAGUGGCCGACGGGACGGGACCGGACGGGACUGGGGCCUCCGCUCCGCACCGCCGUGCCCCGAGGACGGUCGUCCCGGUAA
rnacentral:lncRNA from 1 species